GAUGAACGCUAGCGGCAGGCUUAACACAUGCAAGUCGAGGGGUAGAGUUAGCUUGCUAACUUGAGACCGGCGCACGGGUGCGUAACGCGCAUGCAAUCUACCUUGUACAGAGGGAUAGCCCAGAGAAAUUUGGAUUAAUACCUCAUAGUAUCUUCGGAAGGCAUCUUCUGAUUAUUAAAGUUCCAACGGUACAAGAUGAGCAUGCGUCCCAUUAGCUAGAUGGUAAGGUAACGGCUUACCAUGGCAACGAUGGGUAGGGGUCCUGAGAGGGAGAUCCCCCACACUGGUACUGAGACACGGACCAGACUCCUACGGGAGGCAGCAGUGAGGAAUAUUGGUCAAUGGGCGCAAGCCUGAACCAGCCAUGCCGCGUGCAGGAAGACGGUCCUAUGGAUUGUAAACUGCUUUUAUACGGGAAGAAACACUGCUACGUGUAGCAGCUUGACGGUACCGUAAGAAUAAGCAUCGGCUAACUCCGUGCCAGCCGCCGCGGUAA
rnacentral:rRNA from 1 species